GCUGACAGCCAUGCUGAGUGCAUACACAGCCUGCGCGACCAGAUUUAGAGGUAAUCUUCCGCAAGUGCAAAGAGUGGGCAUUGUGACAAGAUGGCGUGGCAAAAUGUGCACUGUCUUCCCGUGCAUUUAGUACUAGAGGUUGCCUGAUCUCGAGUUUCGGAGACGCGU
rnacentral:lncRNA from 1 species